AAGGGAGACCUAAUUCAGGUAUGGGACGAAAAAAAAGUAGUCGCUACCAAGAAUCAAUCCCAAAAGGUCGGAGCGAGGUAUGAGGCUUUCAAACUAGGUUCUGGGUUCACACAAGACCUGAAUCAGGAACAAGGGCUAUUAGCUCAGGUGGUUAGAGCGCACCCCUGAUAAGGGUGAGGUCCCUGGUUCGAGUCCAGGAUGGCCCACCUGCACAGGUGGCAAAAACAAGAGAAGCGAGGAAUCAGCACCUUAUCUUAUCUAUAUAUAAGAGAGAAUGCUGGCUCUGAGUAAAGAGUCCAGAGGAACCUUGAAAACUGCAUAGAGCUAGGUGAAAAAGCCAAAAAAGAAGACCGCAA
rnacentral:tRNA from 2 species